GAUGAACGCUGGCGGUGUGCCUAAUACAUGCAAGUCGAACGCGUUGGCCCGACUGAUUGAUGAUGCUUGCAUCUGAUUGACGACGGUUUACCAACGAGUGGCGGACGGGUGAGUAACACGUAGGCAACCUGCCCAGAAGCGGGGGACAACAUUUGGAAACAAGUGCUAAUACCGCAUAACAACGAAAACCACAUGGUUUUCGUUUAAAGGAUGGUUUCGGCUAUCACUUCUGGAUGGGCCUGCGGCGCAUUAGCUUGUUGGUGAGGUAACGGCUCACCAAGGCUGUGAUGCGUAGCCGAGUUGAGAGACUGAUCGGCCACAAUGGAACUGAGACACGGUCCAU
rnacentral:rRNA from 1 species